GAUGAACGCUGACAGAAUGCUUAACACAUGCAAGUCUACUUGAACUUCGGUUUGGGUGGCGGACGGGUGAGUAACGCGUAAAGAACUUGCCUCACAGUUAGGGACAACAUUUGGAAACGAAUGCUAAUACCUGAUAUUAUGAUUUUAGGGCAUCCUAGGAUUAUGAAAGCUAUAUGUGCUGUGAGAGAGCUUUGCGUCCCAUUAGCUAGUUGGAGAGGUAACGGCUCACCAAGGCGAUGAUGGGUAGCCGGCCUGAGAGGGUGAACGGCCACAAGGGGACUGAGACACGGCCCUUACUCCUACGGGAGGCAGCAGUGGGGAAUAUUGGACAAUGGAACAAAAGUCUGAUCCAGCAAUUCUGUGUGCACGAUGACGUUUUUCGGAAUGUAAAGUGCUUUCAGUUGGGAAGAAAAAAAUGACGGUACCAACAGAAGAAGUGACGGCUAAAUACGUG
rnacentral:rRNA from 1 species